rnacentral:misc_RNA from 1 species
GAUGAAGAACGUAGCGAAAUGCGAUAAGUAAUGUGAAUUGCAGAAUUCAGUGAAUCAUCGAAUCUUUGAACGCUCAUUGCGCCCCCUGGUAUUCCGGGGGGCAUGCCUGUUCGAGCGUCAUUUCACCACUCAAGCCUCGCUUGGUAUUGGGCAACGCGGUCCGCCGCGUGCCUCAAAUCGACCGGCUGGGUCUUCUGUCCCCUAAGCGUUGUGGAAACUAUUCGCUAAAGGGUGUUCGGGAGGCUACGCCGUAAAACAACCCCAUUUCUAAGGUUGACCUCGGAUCAGGUAGGGAUACCCGCUGAACUUAAGCAUAUCAAUAAGCGGAGGA